UACGGGGGGGGCAAGCGUUGUUCGGAAUUACUGGGCGUAAAGGGUUCGUAGGUGGCUUGCUAAGUCAGACGUGAAAUCCCUCAGCUUAACUGGGGAACUGCGUCUGAGACUGGUGAGCUUGAGUGCAGGAGAGGAACGCGGAAUUCCAGGUGUAGCGGUGAAAUGCGUAGAUAUCUGGAGGAACACCGGUGGCGAAGGCGGCGUGCUGGACUGCUACUGACACUGAGGAACGAAAGCCAGGGGAGCAAACGGG
rnacentral:rRNA from 1 species